rnacentral:rRNA from 1 species
UACGAAGGGGGCUAGCGUUGCUCGGAAUUACUGGGCGUAAAGCGCACGUAGGCGGCUUCUUAAGUCGGUGGUGAAAUCCUGGAGCUCAACUCCAGAACUGCCUUCGAUACUGGGAGCUCGAGUCCGGGAGAGGUGAGUGGAACUGCGAGUGUAGAGGUGAAAUUCGUAGAUAUUCGCAAGAACACCAGUGGCGAAGGCGGCUCACUGGCCCGGUACUGACGCUGAGGUGCGAAAGCGUGGGGAGCAAACAGG